GAUGAACGCUGGCGGCGUGCCUAAUACAUGCAAGUCGAGCGAACAGACGAGGAGCUUGCUCCUCUGACGUUAGCGGCGGACGGGUGAGUAACACGUGGAUAACCUACCUAUAAGACUGGGAUAACUUCGGGAAGCCGGAGCUAAUACCGGAUAAUAUAUUGAACCGCAUGGUUCAAUAGUGAAAGACGGUUUUGCUGUCACUUAUAGAUGGAUCCGCGCCGCAUUAGCUAGUUAGUAAGGUAAAGGCUUACCAAGGCAACGAUGCGUAGCCGACGUGAGAGGGUGAUAGGCCACACUGGAACUGAGACACGGUCCAGACUCCUACGGGAGGCAGCAGUAGGGAAUCGUCCGCAAUGGGCGAAAGCCUGACGGAGCAACGCCGCGUGAGUGAUGAAGGUCUUCGGAUCGUAAAACUCUGUUAUUAGGGAAGAACAAAUGUGUAAGUAACUAUGCACGUCUUGACGGUACCUAAUCAGAAAGCCACGGCUAACUACGUG
rnacentral:rRNA from 1 species